UGGAUUUGCUGCUUAAUUUUUAAAUCAAAUGCAGAGGGAAGUACACAUUUGCAUGCGUAUUGGCCCUCUUCAAAAGCUAACAAAGGAUUUAGGGUUACUCUAAAGAAGGGAAGCCCAGAAAUGUCCAGAGGCAGCCCCCCAACAGCCUAACGAGUGUUUCUAGGUAAGAGUUCCAGGUAAGAUUUUACUUGAACAAAGGAUUCCAGUGCAAAAGAAAGCAAAACAAAUACAACAAAACAGAAAGAGAGAAAGGGAGAAAAAAAGAAAAAAGCCAUUGUCCUAAAAUAAUUGUUUUCUACUAGGAAGCUCUUGGGAGAAGGGAACAUCAGAGCUGCAUCCCAGAUAAUCAAAGGAGCAUACUUUUAUGUAUACAAGUUGGAAUAGGUUGGAAGACCUAUGUAUGGAUUUGCUUUUCAGAAAAAGUACAUGUCAGAGAGCCUUGGAGAAGGACUAAUGGUCUGGCAAGACUGAAAAGACAAGUAGAUCAAGACUGAAAAUGCGAGGGCUGAAAACAGGAAGCUCUGGUCUGAAGUGUAUCUUGGCAGUCAAAGUUGGAGGGACAGCACUAAUUACGUACCGGCACUAAAACACACAGACACAAGAUACCAUCUCAAACGAUCUUAGUUCCCCCACCAGGGAUCGAACCUGUGCCCCCUGCUGUGCAAGCGGGGAGUCCUAACCAAUGGACCACCAGGGAAGUCCCAUAAUAUUCGCUCUUUUUUGACGAAA